rnacentral:rRNA from 1 species
AGAGUUUGAUCAGUGGCUCAGGACGAACGCUGGCGGCGUGCCUAACACAUGCAAGUCGAACGAGGUCCAUCCUUCGGGAGAAGACCUAGUGGCGAACGGGUGAGUAACACGUGAGGAACCUGCCCCGAAGACCGGGAUAACCCUCCGAAAGGAGAGCUAAUACCGGAUACCCCCACCGAACCGCAUGGUUUGGUGAGGAAAUGGAUUCCGCUUCGGGAGGGCCUCGCGGCCUAUCAGCUAGUUGUGGGGUAACGGCCCACCAAGGCAUCGACGGGUAGCUGGUCUGAGAGGACGAUCAGCCACACUGGGACUGAGACACGGCCCAGACUCCUACGGGAGGCAGCAGUGGGGAAUCUUGCGCAAUGGGCGAAAGCCUGACGCAGCAACGCCGCGUGGGGAUGAAGGCUCUCGGGUUGUAAACCCCUUUCAGCAGGGACGAAUCAAGACGGUACCUGCAGAAGAAGCCCCGGCUAACUACGUG